rnacentral:rRNA from 1 species
UACGUAGGGCGCAAGCGUUGUCCGGAUUUAUUGGGCGUAAAGAGCUCGUAGGCGGUUUGUCGCGUCUUCCGUGAAAACUGGGGGCUUAACUUCCAGCUUGCGGUGGAUACGGGCUGACUGGAGUGCGGCAGGGGAGACUGGAAUUCCUGGUGUAGCGGUGAAAUGCGCAGAUAUCAGGAGGAACACCAAUGGCGAAGGCAGCACUCUGGGACGUGACUGACGCUGAGACGCGAAAAGCGUGGGGAGCAAACAGG